UACGUAGGGGGCGAGCGUUGUCCGAAUUUACUGGGCGUAAAGAGCGCGUAGGCGGGUUCUUAAGUGAGAGGUGAAAGGUUCAGGGCUCAACCCGAACAGUGCCUUUCAUACUGGGAGCCUUGAGUGUGGGAGAGGCGAGUGGAAUUUCUGGUGUAGCGGUGAAAUGCGUAGAUAUCAGAAGGAACACCUAUGGCGAAGGCAGCUCGCUGGCCUACAACUGACGCUGAGGCGCGAAAGCGUGGGGAGCAAACAGG
rnacentral:rRNA from 1 species